rnacentral:rRNA from 1 species
UACAGAGGGUGCGAGCGUUGUCCGGAAUCACUGGGCGUAAAGGGCGCGUAGGCGGCCUGGCAAGUGACGGGUGAAAGCCCUCGGCUCAACCGAGGAACUGCCUGUCAUACUGCCGGGCUUGAGUCCGGGAGAGGUGAGUGGAAUUCCCAGUGUAGCGGUGAAAUGCGUAGAUAUUGGGAGGAACACCAGUGGCGAAGGCGGCUCACUGGACUGGAACUGACGCUGAGGCGCGAAAGCGUGGGGAGCAAACAGG